rnacentral:rRNA from 1 species
GAUGAACGCUAGCGGCAGGCUUAACACAUGCAAGUCGCGGGGCAGCGGGGGAUGUAGCAAUACAUUCUGCCGGCGACCGGCGCAAGGGUGCGUAACGCGUGAGCAACAUGCCCGUCUCAGGGGGAUAACCGGUGGAAACGCCGCCUAAUACCCCAUGGUGACAUCCGGAGGCAUCUCCGGCUGUCUAAAGCUCCGGCGGAGACGGAUUGGCUCGCGUGACAUUAGCUGGACGGCGGGGUAACGGCCCACCGUGGCGACGAUGUCUAGGGGUUCUGAGAGGAAGGUCCCCCACACUGGUACUGAGACACGGACCAG